GUAUUGAUUGCGUGUGACCGCAAAGAUAACAUUCUACACUGUAUCAAGUUUUGUGUGAAAACGUGAGCUCCUUUUGCAAAAGAAGACCCACGCGGUGAUGCACAAGGGGUGAAAUGGAUGUGUGAGAGUGCUCAGGCGUGCACGACCUUUUGAAAGGUCAGCGACAGCCCUCGCACCCCCGUUGUAUGAUAAUGAUCCUUCCGCAGGUUCACCUACGGAAA
rnacentral:misc_RNA from 1 species